CCUACGGGUGGCAGCAGUGAGGAAUAUUGGUCAAUGGCCGGAAGGCUGAACCAGCCAAGCCGCGUGAAGGACGAAGGUGCCAAGCAUUGUAAACUUCUUUUGUCAAGGGACAAAAUCAGGCUCGAGAGCCUGACCGAGGGUACUUGAAGAAAAAGCAUCGGCUAACUCCGUGCCAGCAGCCGCGGUAAUACGGGGGAUGCGAGCGUUAUCUGGAUUUAUUGGGCUAAAAGUUUGCGUAGGCGGACUGUUAAGUCAGGGGUAAAAGCCCGGAGCUCAACCCCGGCGAGCCGUUGACACUGGCUGUCUUGAGAUGUCGAGAGGGAUGCGGAAGGCGCAGGGUAGCGGUGAAAUGCUUAGAUAUUGCGCAGAACUCCGAGUGCGAAGGCAGCAUACCGGCGGCGAUCUGACGCUGAGGCACGAAAGCGUGGGUAUCGAACAGGAUUAGAUACCCUGGUAGUC
rnacentral:rRNA from 1 species